ACUUUGCAAUGUGCGAAAGCACGACAAGGUUAAUCCGAGUGGUUUCUGCUAAAGGAACCUUUUGUCAGUCCUAGAAACACUGAUGAAUAAGGGGUGGGCAAGUUCUGGUGUCAGCCGCCGCGGUAAAACCAGCACCUCAAGUGGUCAGGAUGAUUAUUGGGCCUAAAGCAUCCGUAGCCUGCUUUGUUAGUUUUCGGUUAAAUCCAUGCGCUCAACGCAUGGGCUGCCGGGAAUACUGCAAAGCUAGGGAGUGGGAGAGGUAGACGGUACUCGGUAGGAAGGGGUAAAAUCCUUUGAUCUAUUGAUGACCACCUGUGGCGAAGGCGGUCUACCAGAACACGUCCGACGGUGAGGGAUGAAAGCUGGGGGAGCAAACC
rnacentral:rRNA from 1 species